UGUGCGGACACCUGUGAGGAUGGCUUGCGCAGCCGCGCGGUCCCCAGCCGACCAGGACAUGUUUAUUUGUAUCUAUCCUGCCUAUUUAAAUAAUAAGAAGACCAUCGCAGAAGGAAGGCGGAUCCCCAUCAGUAAGGCUGUUGAAAAUCCUACAGCUACAGAGAUUCAAGAUGUAUGCUCAGCAGUUGGACUUAAUGUAUUUCUUGAGGUAAGUCAGUAAUGUUGUACGCAGCGGAAAUGAUACCUAAACUAAAAACAAGGACACAAAAAACAGGAGUUGGUGACCAAAGUCUUCAGCAAGGAGAGGGAAGUAAAAAAGGGAAAGGAAAGAAGAAGAAGUGACUUACUAUGAGCAUCAUUUAUGUGAUAGUAC